rnacentral:rRNA from 1 species
UACGGGGGGGGCAAGCGUUGUUCGGAAUUACUGGGCGUAAAGGGCUCGUAGGCGGCCAACUAAGUCAGACGUGAAAUCCCCAGGCUCAACCUGGGAACUGCGUCUGAUACUGGAUGGCUUGAAUUCGGGAGAGGGAUGCAGAAUUCCAGGUGUAGCGGUGAAAUGCGUAGAUAUCUGGAGGAAUACCGGUGGCGAAGGCGGCAUCCUGGACCGACAUUGACGCUGAGGAGCGAAAGCUAGGGUAGCAAACGGG